rnacentral:rRNA from 1 species
CCGGCGACCGGCGCACGGGUGAGGUAACACGUAUGCAACCUGGCCGUCACAGGUGGAUAACCGGAAGAAAUUCCGACUAAUACAGCAUAACACUCCUGAGGGACAUCCCUUGGGAGUCAAAGGAGGCAACUCCGGUGACGGAUGGGCAUGCGGCGCAUUAGGUAGUUGGUAGGGUAACGGCCUACCAAGCCGACGAUGCGUAGGGGUUCUGAGAGGAAGGUCCCCCACAUUGGAACUGAGACACGGUCCAAACUCCUACGGGAGGCAGCAG